AAGCUUGAUGAUGAUGAUGUCAUUGAUUACAUCCUGAACGGUCUAGAUGCAGAUUACAACCCUUUUGUAUCCUCUAUGUCCGUCAAAGACAAUCUCAGCUUGACCGAUCUAUAUGGUCAAUUGCUCUCCUAUGAAGC